AGAGUUUGAUCAUGGCUCAGAGCGAACGCUGGCGGCAUGCCUAACACAUGCAAGUCGCACGGUCGGGGCAACCCGGCAGUGGCGGACGGGUGAGUAACGCGUAGGGAUCUGUCCACGGGUGGGGGAUAACCAAGGGAAACUUUGGCUAAUACCGCAUGACACCUGCGGGUCAAAGGCGCCGGGGCAACCUGGCGUCGCCUGUGGAGGAACCUGCGUCCGAUUAGCUUGUUGGUGGGGUAACGGCCUACCAAGGCGACGAUCGGUAGCUGGUCUGAGAGGAUGAUCAGCCACACUGGGACUGAGACACGGCCCAGACUCCUACGGGAGGCAGCAGUGGGGAAUAUUGGACAAUGGGCGCAAGCCUGAUCCAGCAAUGCCGCGUGGGUGAAGAAGGUCUUCGGAUUGUAAAGCCCUUUCGGCGGGGACGAUGAUGACGGUACCCGCAGAAGAAGCCCCGGCUAACUUCGUGCCAGCAGCCGCGGUAAUACGAAGGGGGCUAGCGUUGCUCGGAAUGACUGGGCGUAAAGGGCGCGUAGGCGGUUCGCACAGUCGGAUGUGAAAUUCCCGGGCUCAACCUGGGGGCUGCAUCCGAUACGUGCGGACUUGAGUGGGGAAGAGGGUCGUGGAAUUCCCAGUGUAGAGGUGAAAUUCGUAGAUAUUGGGAAGAACACCGGUGGCGAAGGCGGCGACCUGGUCCUUGACUGACGCUGAGGCGCGACAGCGUGGGGAGCAAACAGGAUUAGAUACCCCGGUAGUCC
rnacentral:rRNA from 1 species